UAGGGAAUAUUGGGCAAUGGAUGCAAGUCUGACCCAGCCAUGCCGCGUGCCGGAUGAAGGCCCUCAGGGUUGUAAACGGCUUUUAUUCGGGAAGAAGAGCAGGGAUGCGUCCUUGUGUGACGGUACCGAAUGAAUAAGCACCGGCUAACUCCGUGCCAGCAGCCGCGGUAAUACGGAGGGUGCGAGCGUUGUCCGGAUUUAUUGGGUUUAAAGGGUGCGUAGGUGGCUUUAUAAGUCAGUGGUGAAAUACAGCCGCUCAACGGUUGAGGUGCCAUUGAUACUGCAAAGCUUGAAAUAAUUGGAGGCUGCCGGAAUGGAUGGUGUAGCGGUGAAAUGCAUAGAUAUCAUCCAGAACACCGAUUGCGAAGGCAGGUGGCUACGAUUUGUUUGACACUGAGGCACGAAAGCAUGGGGAGCAAACA
rnacentral:rRNA from 1 species